UACGGAGGGUGCGAGCGUUAUCCGGAUUCACUGGGUUUAAAGGGUGCGUAGGUGGGAAUGUAAGUCAGUGGUGAAAUCUCCGUGCUUAACAUGGAAACUGCCAUUGAUACUAUGUUUCUUGAAUCUUCCGGAGGUCAGCGGAAUAUGUCAUGUAGCGGUGAAAUGCUUAGAUAUGACAUAGAACACCAAUUGCGAAGGCAGCUGACUACAGGGGCAUUGACACUGAGGCACGAAAGCGUGGGGAUCAAACAGG
rnacentral:rRNA from 1 species